rnacentral:ncRNA from 1 species
UCCCGCUUACAUUCGACAGGCGUCCAGCCCAACCGCUGGACAGGAAGCCGGUGAAAUUCCGGCGCGGGACCGCCGCUGUAAGCGAGAAGGUCUCCGGACGAAAAGCCACUGCGAGCCACGGCUCGCGGGAAGGCGUCCGGCGACCGUUCGACUCGCGAGCCAGAAUACGGCCUGACGAAUGACCCAUUC